AUCUCAUCUUUUUCUUCUUCAUUUUUUUGCGUGCGUGUGGGUGUUUUGGUUUUAGGGGGCUGCGGAAGACCCUGGACAAGUUUCAGUCGGUUCUGCUCCAAGUCACUUUAAGCAGCAAUAGGUUUCUGGAUUUGUAAUUUGUAGGGUUUGUAUACGUGGAAAAUUACUGUGCCAUUGGCCGUAUGAAAUCCAGUUGCGUUGUUCA
rnacentral:misc_RNA from 1 species